rnacentral:rRNA from 1 species
UAACCGCAAGGAGGGCGCUUACCACGGUAGGAUUCGUGACUGGGGUGAAGUCGUAACAAGGUAGCCGUAUCGGAAGGUGCGGCUGGAUCACCUCCUUU